GGAGAAAUUGCUACAGCAGAGUCAGAUGGCUGGACUGUAACAGGAGGGGAUCAGGAGAAAUGAUUUACAAAGCAAUCAGUGGAGAAGUUGCUACAGCAGAGUCAGAUGGCUGGACUAACAGGAGAGGAUCAGGAGAAAGCAUUUAAUGUAACAGAGGGGUCUCUUGAAAAGUUUACCAUCAAGGGUUGCAACAGUACCAAUGUCUACCAUGCCGCAUACCACAGAUAACCCAGCCAACCUGACUGACUACGAGUACCAAUACUUAGACGAAGAGGAUUAUAUCCAGUUUUUGCUUUGCACAAAGGAAAAUGUCAAGGCGUUUAGCAAGGUGUUCCUGCCAGUGCUCUAUACAAUAGUGUUUCUACUUGGAUUGGCUGGGAACUGUCUACUCUUUGCCAUCUUGAUCAAAUAUACCAAGAACAAGAAAAUGACCGAGGUGUAUCUGCUGAAUCUGACAGUUUCAGACCUCCUUUUCGUGGUAACCCUUCCCUUCUGGGCCACAUACGCAGCUUCUCAGUGGGUGUUUGGGAAUGCCUUCUGCAAGAUCAUAAGUGUCAUCUACACCACCAACUUCUACAGUGGCAUCUUCUUUGUCAGCUGCAUGAGUCUGGACAAAUACCUGGAGAUCGUUCAUGCUUGGUCCAAUAAAAACUUAAGGGCCCCAAGAAAGAGCUUCCUUGUCUCUUCAGUAGUGUGGGUUAUUUCCAUAGUGCUGUCUAUUCCUGACUUUAUCUUCAUGCAGGUGCAGGAUCUCCACAAUGAGAGACGAGUUUGCCACCUCGACUAUGGCCUGCACAACUCCAUCUGGCAACUUCUCUUUCAAUUCCAGCAGAUCCUGCUAGGCUUCUUCCUUCCAUUCCUUUGCAUGGUGUUCUUCUACUCCCGUGUAGCUUGUGUCCUCACUGCGUUAAUGUCUCCUGGCAAGAAGAGAGCUCUCCGCCUGGUCGUUAUUUUGGUGGUAGUUUUCUUUGUGCUGUGGUUCCCAUACAAUGUUACCCUCUUUCUGCAUUUCUUGCAAAACCUCCAUGUGAUUAAGAGUUGUGAAACUAGCAAGCACUUGGACUACGCUAUGCAAGUGACUGAGAGCCUUGCCUUUAUUCAUUGUUGCCUCAACCCCUUGCUGUAUGCUUUUGUGAACAAACGGUUCAGGUUACACUUAAAGAAGAUUUUUGGGGCCAUCUUCAGGAGGCAGGAUUUCUUUGUUCUCCAGCUGUCCGAGACAAGUCGUUCUUCUAGUAGGUGCACUGACCAAGUAGAAAUGACAAGCAUCACGAAUGUGUAAUGAAUAUUUAGAGAAUUUCUUUGCUGUACAUGUUUUAUUAUCACGUAUUGUACUGUUUCCGGCGGUGGAGUGAUGUAUGGAUAAGCAGUUGGAGCACAGACCUGGGAAUCACGAAUGGCCAAGUAUUAAUCCCAGCUCUAGCACUGAUUUCCUCAUUCGUUUUGGGCAAAUCACAACCUGCCCCUGCCUCAGUUUCCCUAUCUGCGAACUCAUGGGGAUGGUAAUAAUUUGUUGGGAGGAUUUUUCUAGAAUGGUGUAAAUAUGGAGUAAUCCAACUGAAGUUGGGAAUCAUUUUUGCAUUUACACCAGUGUGUCUGAGAUCAGAAUCUGUCCCUGUAAUCGGUCACAAUGAGGAUACUCCAACAGAGUGGAAUUUGGCCAUGCAACUAGAGUUACAAAGGGAUUACUCUGGAUUUAUACCGUUGUAACUGGCAGCUAAAAUUUGCCCGAUGUUUGUAAAGCAUGUGGGCCCAGAUCUGGACCUCCAGAGUAUUUGGGCUCCUAAUUCCCAUUGAAAUCAAUGAAAGUUAGGCACCUAAAUACCUCAGAGAAUCUGGGCUGUGGCGCAAACUGGGUGUGUGAGGCAGAGUGGCCUCCCUCCAAGCCUGACAGGGAGGAAACACUCCACACCUCCUGACUGGGGAGAACCAAGCCAGCCCUGUCCCUGUGCUGGAAGUGGAGGGGUAGGACAGGAAGUAUAAAAGGGAAGACCAUCCAACUUAGUUGGGCUGGAGCCAGAUGACUCUACCUCGCUGCAGAACUCUGGACCAGAGACCGAGCUGUGCAGUGCCCCAGGAAGAGACCAGCUGGGGAGAGGAGUUGGUGGACCGUGGUCCCAUGCAUUUACCCUGAGGAGACUGAAGACCUAUGGAUGAUGGAGCCACACCAAGGAAGGGCGGUUGGAAGUAGCUCAGGGGAACAAGACAUUAGCCUGGUUAUGUGGCCAGUAAACGAGUCAGCAUGUUUCGGUGACUUCCCUGCUGACCCAGUGGUGGGACCACCCACCGCUAUUUGGGCCCUGGGCUGGGACCUGGUGGAGUAGAGGGGCCCGGGUCCUCCUACCCCCUGCUGCCAACCCCUCCCCUGAGGUGGGGAUCUACUCACCCCAGACCAGAAGGCCUGUGGCUCUGCCCUGCUCAGAGGAGUAGAGCCCCAGACUACGUCUGCUGUCUGUUCCAGCUUGAAGGAUGUAGCUAAAGGCUGCUCCUUACUCUCCCCGGCCAGAGGGUCAAGGCAAUAGAUUGUAGAUUGCUGUCUACAGACUAUAAUGUCAAUAGACUGUGUGCUGUUCUGUCCUGACCACAGGGCCAGAGCCCUAGCCUUCUUAAUGAUUGCUUACUAUGUGACAUAGUGAGGCUGAGUGGGGAGGGACAACCACAGAACCACUGCACUGAGCAAACUGAGUUGUAAGUAUUAUCAGUGAGGGCGUACACAAACACUUACACAUGGAGAGAUCUGGAUUACGUACAAUUUAGAUGUCAAAUACAGUGAAACCUAGUGUAAUGGGCUGUCCAUCCCACCAUGCACAAGAGUGGAAGUGGUUAAUGGAGGGCAAGUGGGCCAAUUAACCUAGUAGAUUGAAUACUGAAAGGAAAGCCCUGAUUAGAGGAACAGGUUUAUCUGUGAAGGAACAGGCGGGGCCUAUAUCAAGCCAGGUAGCUAGCUACAGAUAGGCAGUGAUUGCUGGGAAAGGCUGCAGGGAAGUAGACUGCAGUCAUUUCCUGAGUGGAGGGAGUUGGGAGGCUGGCAAACCCAGAGAGGGGGGGAAGCCAGAUAAGUAGGAAGAAACCCAGGGAAACAGCAGCAAGAGGUAAGAGUAUGCAGGGACAGUGUUUGCUUGUUAUAGAGUUCCUGGACUGGAACCCUGUGUAGAGGGUGGUCCUGGGUUCCCCUAGCAGCCACUGGGAAGUGGAAAGGGCAUUGGAGAUGCUAGCCAGCCAGUGGGUCUGGAAGGACUUUGAAUUCCCUGGAAGGGGAGGAUCUUAGUGACGCAGCCCGAGGGCCUAGCCACAAAAAGGAGACCGCAGUCCCUGGAGUGCGAAGGGCUGCAGGGCGAGAUAGUACAGGAGAAGACCUUACCAGAGGGGAAGCACAAUGCAGAGCUAAUUCCCAGGGCAGCCAGCAGGAGGUGCUACUAGCAGUGAGUGAAUCCUGUGACACCUAGUCUACCAGGCCCCUGCCCUGCUGAUCACUAGGAUUUCAGUUUCUCCAAAUGCAACACACUCUAUUAUGUGCUACUUCUAACAAUAGCUAGAGAAAUAUCAGAUGCAGUGCCUUUGGUGGCUGCUGUAGAUGGAUUUCAUGAUAAAUCCUUCCCUUAGCCAUACUGCACACUGACAGUGGCUCAGUGACUAUGCAAUCCUCUGAAUUGCUCCCCCACACCCAAACCUCUCUAGCUUUUUAGGAAUGGAAGCUUCUUGUGAUUCUUAAAUAUGUGUCCCUUUCAAGAGGAGGGAGACUGAAGUCCUAAGGUAAAAUCUGGCCAGCCAGUAUUGCAAUAAAUGCUGGUUGUGGUAGGUGGCAAAACUUCAGUGGCAGAGGCCUCCAUUUUUGAGGUCAAUGUCCCAAAAAUUCUAAGGAUAUUUUUAUUAUGCAGCCAGUGAAAGGCGGUGAGCAUUUUGGAAUCACCAUAAUUGCUUUAUUGCCAUUAGAUUUGCUCUAACGAGGAGUACUUGUGGCACCUUAGAGACUAACACAUUUAUUUGGGCAUAAGCUUUCAUGGGCUAAAACCCACUUCAUCAGAUGCAUGGAGUGGAAAAUACAGUAAGAAGGAAAAUAUAUAUAUAUAUACACACACACACACGCAGUACAUGAAAAGAUGGGAGUUGCUUUACCAAUUCUAACGAGACAAUUCAUUUAAAGUGGACUAUUAUCAACAGGAGGAAAAAUCACAUUUGUAGUGGUAAUUAGGGUGGCCCACUUCAAACAGUUGACAAAAAGGUAUGAGUAACAGUAGGGGGAAAUUAGCAUGGGGAAAUUGUUUUUUAGUUCUUGUAGUGACCCGUCCACUCCCAGUCUUUAUUCAGGCCUAAUUUCAUGGUGACCAGUUUGCAAAUUAUUUCCAGUUCUGCAGUUUCUUGUUGGAGUCUGUUUUUGAAGUUUCUGUUGAAGAAUUGCCACUUUUAAGACUGUGACUGAGUGACCAAAGAGACUGAAGUGUUCUCUGACUGGUUUUUGAAUGUUAUAAUUCUUGACGUC